AAAAAAAUCCCAAAAUUCUCUCAACCCUCUCUUCCCCCUCCGGGCUCCAGCAAAAGAUUCGGCCAUCGGCUGUCGUGCCGGCCACAAGGAUUCGAGGCCAAAACCCCCGAAAACUCGGCCAAACCUGGCGAAGCAAUGAAGAAACGUUUCGUUUCUUCUCCUUUUCCGGCGUGGCCGUUGACGGCAAGUAGAUCGGCCAACAUAGGUAAGUUUCUUUUCCUCUUCCCUUUUUUUAUAUUCGUAUAUAAAAUAAAAAAAUAAAUCUUAACGUGAAAAAAAACGAAAUCAAACGAAAAUCACCUUGAAAAAUAUAUAAAAGUCGAGUCUCUUUUCUUUUUUGUAUUCAAUCUUUUUGAAAAUAAAAGAACCCCCUAUUACAAUAUGUUUUUUGCGGCCUUUAUAGCCACUGAUACAUUAUUUGCUUUUGAUUUAUUAUUGUUUCUCUGCUAUCGUCUGUCCUCUUUCUUUCUCUUUUCUUGCAGGUGGUGGAGUCAACGGUGACGGAGGGCAGAUCCCUUUGCUGUUUUGGUGAAAUGGCGUCAGAAAGGGUGCGUCAGGCCCCGGGACGAGGCGCGAGCGGCGCGAUCCAAGGUGGCAACAGCUGGGUGCGGCGCACAUGGGGGCUAGGGUUUUCUUUUUUUGCUGACAAUAGUUUAGGUCGUUGGGCCUUAGGGUUUGAUUAUUUUGGGCCAAUUGGACCUCUUUUGCAAAUGGACUAUUGAUUAUUUUUAUUUGCUGUUUAGGGCCUGGGCAAAUUUAUGUCUGUACAAUUAGAUACUUUCUUUAUAAAAGAAGUGGAUUAAUUUUUUCAAAAGAGUAUAAGAUGCCUUUAACCUAAUAUUUAUAGACAUUUUUAUUUUUUCAUAUUCGCAAAAACCUGAAAGAACGCUGGUAUCCCGAUAUGGAUAGACUAAGCUUGGAAGGGGAGAUGUCACACGACGAGCAUCCUCAGAUUUGAUGGAUUUUGUUAUAAAAAUCAUGUAAGACUUGAGUUGUAAUUUUUAGUUUUAUAAAUG
rnacentral:lncRNA from 1 species